CAGAAUAAUAUCUUAAUGUUAGAUUGUCUACUGCUCUGUGGGAUUCAUUCAUUAUCCUAAAUAGAAAUUUAAAGAAAAAAUUCCAAAAAAAAGACACCACCAGUUCACACAAAACUGUUAAUUCUGGGAAAUUACAUACAUCAAAGAACUAUAAUUCUAAUGGAAAACUAAACAACACAAAAACUAUAAUCAUCUUUAAGAACUCUAUACUACAUAUAGAGUUAUUUUAGCUGGCUCUAAUUUCUGAUAAAUUUCUAAGAUGAUGGAACCUUUUUCAAUUCCAUGGCCCAGGCUUAGUGUCUUACCUGUGGGAACAGUGCUAAUGAUUAAUUCACUCAAAUGUUUGUGCACACAAGGGGCAGCAAUUUCACAUUAUAAUUUUGUAAAAAAAAAAGUUCUUGCAUAUCACACUCCAAUUUUCUAAAAAUUACACAGCUUAUGAAAGAUGGUAGAAUGUGAAAUUCUGUCCAAUUGGUUAUAGUUAAUAUUCCAUUAAUCAUAAAGUUCGAUCUUGAAAUUCUUCAUUACUCCACAUAAAAUAUUUUCUAUUUAUUGAGUUGGAAAAAAACCUCAUGUACAGCUAAAUUGUUGUAUAUUUCCUAGGCUAAGGUAUAUUUCACAAUAUUCAUCCUUCCAAAUUUAUUUUGGAAGCAAUGGAUGAAAUACAAGGUUACGGGUUUUCCUAAUGACAAAACAAAAAGAAAAUUUAUAUAAAACAUUUGUUAGUAUUUCAUUAAGUUA
rnacentral:lncRNA from 1 species